ensembl:lncRNA
UGUCCUCAGUUUGUUUUCUCGCUCCUUUGUUUAUUUUGGUUCUUUCAGUUUACUUUCUUGUUUAAAGACAUGACUCACUGUGUGCACUAGCAUUCAUAUAGAUAGGCUGCUGCUGCUGCAAGCCCCACAGCACGGUGGACUAAACCAUUUUUUUAUCUGUAAGGGGUGAAAUGGCAUCACACCUAGUGUUAUCACGGCUAGUUAGGAAUCAAAGUUUAGUCACCUGACUGAUUUAUUCAUGAAAUUUAAAUAUGACACUAAUUACUAAAAAACAAAAAAAAUGCAAACUAAAAAAAAAAAUGUUUCAGGUUUGGAUAGACCCCUCCCACCUCAGGGGCCCUGGGUAGUCCUACUCUUCCUCCACCGCUUCCACGCCCCUGCUUGCGUUGACACGAUCACGGAAGACGCGGAAGACGCACGGAUAUUUAAACAACAUUAAAUGUUAAUGUUUUUAAUAAAGUACAACUCAGAUAAUCUCACGCCCAGGAUCUAUCGAUAAGGAAGUUUAAAGUUUUUUUAAAGCUGAAGAAGGAAAAGUCCGAACACGGAAAUGAGAGCUGGCAGGUCUGCGUGUCUCUGCUGGAGUUUACUGUUUGUCUGCGUCCUGCUGGUCUCUGCAGGAAGGGUUCAGAGGCCGAUGUGCUCCUAAUACCUGUCCCAAGACCAGAUAGCUCAGUGCAGGUGAGCUGAGUUCUAUCAGGGAGGGUACAGGGACGUUUCCCGGCGGCCUUGGGAUCAUUUUUGCCAGCCAUGGACUUCAGCUGUGCAGGAAAGCAUUGACAGGGCUCUGACAAUCCACACAUGUGGUGUGGCUGUGUUAGGCUCACUUAAAGACUGUUUGCUGUUACCAAUGCAUUUGUAGUUGUAGGGGACUGUAACACUGUCAUGAGAACUCCCUCUGUUCCAUUUGUCCACAGUGUUCCCACAGAGACGGAGACCUGCUGAUCUUUGAAGGAUUAUGAAGAAUCUCCAAACAGUUUAAUAACCGCAAAAUCAUCACAGCGGAUAGUGGACAGACUGCCACUCUGCCGUGUCGAGGUCCAAACAGCGACAUCAUAGGUGUGGAGUGGAGCAGAGCUGACCUGAAGACACAAUAUGUCCUUUUGUACCGAGACGAGCAGCUCGAUCCAACAAACCAGCAUCCGAAUUUUAAGGACCGGGUGGAUCUGCAGGACAGACAGAUGACGGAUGGAGACGUGUCUCUGAUUCUGAAGGAUGUGAAAACUGAGGACACAGGAACAUAUGAGUGUCAUUUGUUAGAUGGGAAGUCCAUCAGCAGCAUCUAUCUGAGAGUUGUUGCUCCAGCUCAGACAGGAGGACAGAGUGGAGAUGGAGUGAACGAGGAUGGAUUUGUUGGACUGAGAGCUGGUCUGCCUCUUCCUGUGAUGUUCAUCAUUGCUGGUGUAUUUUUAAUUUACCGAAAACAUAAAAAACGCAGGCGUCACGGUUUGUACUAUCAUGUGUGAACUGAAACUCUUUGUUGCACUACAUGAAGCAGGAAAAUGGUGGAGCGGUUUACAGUGGAGAUGUGGCCAUUACUUUUAUUUAUUUUUUGCACAGAAGGACAACAGAGCAAUGCUAAACAGUAUCCUGCUAACAGAACUUUGGCUCUUUGCAACCAUUUGCACAGACAGCAUGCUAACACUAAGUUAGCCAAUAACACAGAGUGUUGCUGAAAGUGGGUGUAUGCUGACCCCAGCCCAGCAGCCAGAGUCUGAACUUGCACAGGUAACAAAGGCAGAGAUGAUCAGUCAGACUUGAAAUUGGUGUUUCUACCUGUCCGUGUUUCUAUAGUAGAGCAGCUGUGGUGAUCACUUUGAAGUCAUCUUUGCUUUGUGUUGAAACCUGAAUAAUAAAAGAAAGAUCAUAUAUGUGUGUCCUCAUUAGGACAGGGAUUUUUGUUGAUGUGUGGGACUCGGUGUAAUGACACCAAAGCUGGUUAUAAGACACAAACACAAGAAUCAAACUGAGCUGUUAAGAGUUCAUGACAGAAACUGAGUAAUUUGUCAUCACAUGAAGUCAGAUUAUAUCAAGUAAUUAAUAGACAUGGAACUAUUUUUUCUUCUCUCCAUUAAGUGUUUUCUCUUAAAGGUGAAGCUAGUUUUCCUCUCUAUGAAUUAUAAUGUAAAAUGUCCUGUUUUUACAGUUUUGUAAACAAAGCUUUAUAUUUUAUACGCUAAUGCUAACAAAAACUGUUUCAUUUGUGAAUGUGAAGAUAUCCUGUAAGUUGUCAGAUUAAUGCAGCUAUUACAGUAAAAUGACUCUUUGCACAGAUAAAGCUUUACCUCCAUGUGUGAGUGAUCGAAGCAGAUGCUGUAUAGACAUGUUUGUAUUCACUGAAAUUCACAAGAACGUCUCGUGUGAAGUUCACAUUUAAAAACAGGGUCUAAACGGUAAAGAUGAUUUGGUAGACAGAGGAUGGAGGGUGGGUGGAUGAAUUGAUGGAUAUUUUUUAUACAUCCAAAUAAGAAAAAAUGAUUAUAAUUAAGGAUUAAACUAUAUCACUGUACAUUCAUGCUACUGGAAGGAUUCAUUAAAUAGAAUAACAUCAAGUGAAACGCUACAUGUAUAAAGGCUACCUUACACCACAAAGCCUCGCUCUAAAAAGCUUUCACAGAUUUAACACUGUGAAGCUGGGAAUAAAGUUUCUAUUUUUAGAGUAUGUUUGGCACCAUGUUGUGCAAGUACCGCAUGUGAUGUUACUGGGUUGGUUGGCUAAUAGACUUCUAUUCAUUUAUGUUAGCUAACUAGUGACAGAUCAGAUGUACCUGACUCAAACUGGCUCUCCUCCUCACUCUUAAAACAGGUGGAUUUUCAUGUUUCAGUUCAGCUAGCCGAUGUUGAAGAAUCACUUGCUGCUAAAGAGACAGAGGUGUAAAUUAACCUUUACACAUGUAAUGUUUCAUGUCCACUUUAAAUACAAUGCAGGGAUUUAGUGUAACACAUGGGAUACGUCCAAGUGAACACAUUUACGUUAAUUACUUACAUAAAAGUCUUCUUAGCUUACAAAGUUUUUCUAUCAGGCUGUAAAGAUGUCGUUAUGUAAACUUUAACAGAUUGACAGGUGACAGGAUAUGAUGUAUGCUGCUGUAGUGAAACUGGAAUGGGGUUUAAAACUUGUGAUUUUAACACAGAUAAUUUAUGCACUUUUUAAUUUUAUGAUGUUUAAGACUUUGAAAAAGUAUUUUCAUGAAGUCAGAGCUCCUAUCUUGAGAGCACAGGGUUAGCUUAAUGUGACAUCAGAGGCUGAGGAGGAGGAGAAGCUUCCACUUUAUCUUUGUGGUAAAAUGUUUCACUGUGUUUAAAGACAUGAAUAAAAACUGUGUUAAAUCAAU